GAUCCUGGCUCAGGAUGAACGCUAGCUACAGGCUUAACACAUGCAAGUCGCGGGGUAACAUCUGGUGGAGCUUGCUCUUCCAGGAUGACGACCGGCGCACGGGUGAGUAACGCGUAUCCAACCUGGCCCAUACCACGGGAUAGCCCGUCGAAAGGCGGAUUAAUACCGUAUGCUGUCAUUAAGAUGCAUAUAUUGAUGACGAAAGGACUGGCGGUAUGGGAUGGGGAUGCGUCUGAUUAGCUUGUUGGCGGGGUAACGGCCCACCAAGGCGACGAUCAGUAGGGUUCUGAGAGGAAGGUCCCCCACAUUGGAACUGAGACACGGUCCAAACUCCUACGGGAGGCAGCAGUGAGGAAUAUUGGUCAAUGGGCGCAAGCCUGAACCAGCCAAGUAGCGUGAGGGAAGACUGCCCUACGGGUUGUAAACCUCUUUUGUUUGGGAAUAAAGUGCGGGACGUGUCCCGCAUUGCAUGUACCAUUUGAAUAAGGACCGGCUAAUUCCGUG
rnacentral:rRNA from 1 species